AAUAAUCAAGAGUCCAUACAACUUGGAACAUCAUUUGAAGUCAAGUUCUCAAGGAAUUAGGGUUUGGGAGUCACCAGUCAAUGCACAAUCAGACAGAAAUCCUAAAAGUCAACUGUUGGUCAACUGUCCAUUUAAUCAGUGAUUGGAUGAUUGGAAGUGGUUUGUGAGAGUUCAUUCAUGUCCAAAUAGUCAUCAUACAUCAUGCCAAACACCAUCAUGGAGGAAUUUGAAGCCAGAUCAAAAUUUCCCAAAAUAGAAACUGGGCCUGAAACUGAAACCUG
rnacentral:lncRNA from 1 species